rnacentral:rRNA from 1 species
AUGGAGAUGGCAACCUCCUCAUCGUCGGGCUCCCUUUCCUUCGGAUCGCCGGCGCUCCGCCCCGUCAAGUCGGAGCCACAGGAGACGCCGCUCGGGCGGCGCACCCGCGGCGACGCCCUCGUCAUCAACGAGGGCGGCCGUGGCCCCUCUCCUCCCUCUUCCCGCCUCGUCAGGCCGAAGACCGAGCCGGGGCUGCUCCCCGUGAAGAAGGAGCAUGAGGCCAUGGCCGCUGCCGACGAGACCGCCCUCAAAUGGGUGCGCAAGGACUACGUCCGCGAGGAGAUGGCGCGCCAGCGCCGCGCCCUCGAGAAGAUUGCCGCUCGGUGCCGCGGACGCGAGAAGGGCGGUGUCGUCAUCCUCGACGACAGUGAUGAGGAGGCGCCCGGGCCGUCCAACCCCCCACGCAUCGGCGACGCUAGUCAGGGGUGCAGCAGGGACGCCGACGGCACGCAGGACGGCGGCGACGACGACGACGACGGCGACUACACCAAGUUAUACAGGCUCCUCGGCAUGUAG